rnacentral:misc_RNA from 1 species
AUGUGUAUAAGAGACAGGUGAGUCAUCGAAUCUUUGAACGCACAUUGCGCCCUUUGGUAUUCCUUAGGGCAUGCCUGUUCGAGCGUCAUUUGAACCCUCAAGCUCAGCUUGGUGUUGGGUGUCUGUCCCCGCCCCGCGGGGACUCGCCUCAAAAACAUUGGCGGCCGGUACGUUGGCUUCGAGCGCAGCAGAAACGCGAACUCGGGGCCCGACGUAGCGGCGACCACAAGUCUAUUCAUCACUUUGACCUCGGAUCAGGUAGGGAUACCCGCUGAACUUAAGCAUAUCAAUAAGCGGAGG